UCAAGUAUUCUGCGCUUCUAGUACCAGCUAGUCUACUUGUAACAUGCUUAGUGCCAAUACCUGUAUUCACAAAGGUCUACCAACUGGUGUGUAGUCUAACAGUGUGAUGGCCCCUGACGGCCCCUGACGGAAGGACAAUUGACCUGGUCGGGCACUUCCACUUCGUGUGGCACUAGCUAGAUCAAGAGAUUUCGUAUCUGAUGCAACCGUAGCAUCAUCACGACAUCAGUAAGGAUGUUUAAGGCCUUCCUGAGAACCUGGGAUUUGACUAUGCUGACACACAAGACGAAUGAUGGCGUCCAACAACAAAAUUUAACACAAGUGAAGCCGGGAGUGCUACCUUUCGAAGGACGGUGUGAAGAAUCAAAAGGCCGUCUAGAUCCCCAGGAGUAACUUGGAAUUUUCAUCCAUAUACCGUAUGUUUACCCUAAGCAUACCAUCAACCGUCAGCAGAUAUUGAAGUUUUAAUGUGGACCAUAGACAGACGAGGAGGAAAAAACACGGGCUAUCUUCCAACACCCUCGAUCCUCAACACGGGUGUUCACUGGAAAGAGCUUGGUCUACAAAAAUUUAACAACUUUGGACUUGGACUAGUUGGCUUUGAGUGUACAGCAGGCUCAACAAUCAAAUUACUUGUAAUUUGGUACAAAAUCUUUAAAUGCGUCAUAUAAAUAUUCAAAUUACAAAAUCUUUAGAUCAU